GUUUCUUUCUCACACCGCACCACCCGCGGACCGGGAAAUGCCGCCUCCUCCGCCUCCACCGUUUCCCUCCUACAGAAAGGCUCAAGAAUCCAGCCAGCUUCCUGCCAUCUCGUUAUGCCUUGAGAGGAUCCUUAAGGACUAGCCAAAAUCGCACCGGGCAGGGGCUCAGACGCGCCGCGGCGACCCGCCUGCUCUGCAACGGAUUUGACAAACUGCCGGCCAACUCUCCAAGAAGACAGCCACCUGGCAGAUUGCACCUGACUCCACGGCAGCCGGGAGCCCCGAAGCGAGGCUCUCUGGCUUGCAGAAAGGCCACCCAAGAUCUAUUUCUCAAGCCGGGAACCGAAGCGUCUGUGGGAUCAGUGUCCCGAGAGAUCACAUGCAAAGGAGGGAAGGGGGAAAGGUGGGUUCAAGGAAGGCAGCAGGUCCCCGGAGCAACAAGUGCCGGGCUGCAGGGAGGUGUCACAGGAUCCGCUCCAGUCAGCUAUCCCCGCGUCGCCGCCAACGCGCCCAAAAUAGC